UGGGGAAUCUUGGACAAUGGGCGAAAGCCUGAUCCAGCCAUUCCGCGUGGAUGAUGAAGGCCUUAGGGUUGUAAAAUCCUUUCAGCAGGGAAGAUAAUGACGGUACCUGCAGAAGAAGCCCCGGCUAACUCCGUGCCAGCAGCCGCGGUAAUACGGAGGGGGCUAGCGUUGUUCGGAAUUACUGGGCGUAAAGCGCACGUAGGCGGAUCAGUCAGUCAGAGGUGAAAUCCCGGAGCUCAACUUCGGAACUGCCUUUGAUACUGCUGAUCUGGAGUUCAUGAGAGGUGUGUGGAAUUCCGAGUGUAGAGGUGAAAUUCGUAGAUAUUCGGAGGAACACCAGAGGCGAAGGCGACACACUGGCAUGAUACUGACGCUGAGGUGCGAAAGCGUGGGGAGCAAACAGG
rnacentral:rRNA from 1 species